rnacentral:rRNA from 1 species
AUUUAGCUGGGGUAGCUACUUUAUAAAAACUAAUAGGUAAGGGAACAACUAGCUAUUGGAGUAUGGUCCUAUAUGUAUGGAUAAUUCGGUAUUAGUUACUUUAGGGGUAACAGCGUAAUGUCUUUAGGGAGACCGUAUCUAUAAGGAAGAUUGCGACCUCGAUGUUGAAUUAAAAGAUCUCUGAAGAGAAGAAGGUUCAGUAGAGGGUUUGUUCAACCUUUAAAUUUUUACAUGAUCU